AUCAGUAAAAGAGAUUACCAUUUUUUUGAAGCCUGUUUACGCCUUUUCCGAUGCAUAUACUAGUGCCUUCUGCUUCUUCUGUGUCCGAGUCCUCAACCACAUUGACAAUCUUAAAUGUUGUGGUGCUUUGAAGAGUUGGCACAUCAUUCGAAGGCUCUUCAGGCAGUCUUUUCUCCUUCACCACAGGACCUUGUGAUGGCGGAGAUUGUCCAGAAGGUGCUGCAGGUACCAAGUCAAGAGCCACUGCACCUGCUACAUUAUUAGCUUCCCCAACAGGCUUUGUCGUCUGAUAAAUAUCAGUCCACAGCCUAGUCUUCUUUUUUGUCCACGCACCUGUCGUUUUGGCCUGUUUCCAUUACUGGAUGCAAGUGGAUAUGAAAUGAAACAUGUUAAGAAUUUCCAAACUUAAAUAUGAAAUGAAACAUGUUAAGAAUUUUCAAACUUAAAUAUCAAGGGAAUUAAAAAAUGCAGAACACUCAUAAUAUUAAUAAAC
rnacentral:lncRNA from 1 species